rnacentral:rRNA from 1 species
AGUUUGCUUGCAAACUGGAGAUGGCGACCGGCGCACGGGUGAGUAACACGUAUCCAACCUGCCGAUAACUCGGGGAUAGCCUUUCGAAAGAAAGAUUAAUGCCCGAUGGCAUAAUUAGACCGCAUGGUCUUAUUAUUAAAGAAUUUCGGUUAUCGAUGGGGAUGCGUUCCAUUAGGCAGUUGGUGAGGUAACGGCUCACCAAACCUUCGAUGGAUAGGGGUUCUGAGAGGAAGGUCCCCCACAUUGGAACUGAGACACGGUCCAAACUCCUACGGGAGGCAGCAGUGAGGAAUAUUGGUCAAUGGACGAGAGUCUGAACCAGCCAAGUAGCGUGAAGGAUGACUGCCCUAUGGGUUGUAAACUUCUUUUAUAUGGGAAUAAAGUUUUCCACGUGUGGAAUUUUGUAUGUACCAUAUGAAUAAGGAUCGGCUAACUCCGUGCCAGCAGCCGCGGUAAUACGGAGGAUCCGAGCGUUAUCCGGAUUUAUUGGGUUUAAAGGGAGCGUAGGUGGACAGUUAAGUCAGUUGUGAAAGUUUGCGGCUCAACCGUAAAAUUGCAGUUGAUACUGGCUGUCUUGAGUACAGUAGAGGUGGGCGGAAUUCGUGGUGUAGCGGUGAAAUGCUUAGAUAUCACGAAGAACUCCGAUUGCGAAGGCAGCUCACUGGACUGCAACUGA